CCUUGGUUGUGGGGCAGCCGGAGUCACCCAACUGGAAAACACCAUAUUCCCAUGUCGGUUUAUGAAGGCCUUGGAGCAAACUGCGCAAACUGUAGUGGCAAAAGGUCGGGAGCCUAGGAUUUAUCCAAACAUGCAUCUUGGACCGAGGAAGAUACACCCAGAAGUCAGGAAUGUACCUGUCAUCAAACGUGAUACAUUAAAAUGCACAGUUUCAAAUG